rnacentral:lncRNA from 1 species
AUGGACCUGAACCACAUCUGGACUAUCCCAGAGGCAGGAGGUAUUUUUGCCUGGGAUUUUGAGCUGAAAUCCAUCUCCAGCAAGAAGAGAGAUGAAAUGUGGUGCCAUCGAGACAAACUGUUGCCAAGAAAAAGGAGGGAAAAACACUAUGAAGGAACAGACACAGGCCCAAGAAUCCCACACCUUAUAAGUCUGGAGACAAGUGCAAUAUACGUACAUACCACCUUCAGCUUAAAAGUCCAUUGAGCCCAGGUUCUUUGAAAGCUGCUUUGGGAACAUUGGUUGGAAAGUAACAGGAAAACCCUGAAAAACAGAUAAAAUAUUGCUAAGUCUGAACUUUGUAUUUGUCCAACACUUCUUAACAUUCAAGUUUGAAAAACCAGUACCAAGCUCAGCAGAAAUAAAAUGUAUUCCAGAAAUGUUCUAACA